CGUUAGCAUUUGAAACUGUAUGACUUGAGUGCAGGAGAGGUAAGUGGAAUUCCUAGUGUAGCGGUGAAAUGCGUAGAUAUUAGGAGGAACACCAGUGGCGAAGGCGACUUACUGGACUGUAACUGACGCUGAGUCACGAAAGCGUGGGUAGCAAACAGGAUUAGAUACCCUGGUAGUCCACGCUGUAAACGAUGAGUGCUAGGUGUUGGCCAGCGAUGGUCAGUGCCGCAGUAAACACAUUAAGCACUCCGCCUGGGGAGUACGUACGCAAGUAUGAAACUCAAAGGAAUUGACGGGGACCCGCACAAGCAGCGGAGCAUGUGGUUUAAUUCGAAGCAACGCGAAGAACCUUACCAAGGCUUGACAUCCCCUUGACCAGUGCAGAGAUGUACUCUCUCCUUCGGGAGCAAGGGUGACAGGUGGUGCAUGGUUGUCGUCAGCUCGUGUCGUGAGAUGUUGGGUUAAGUCCCGCAACGAGCGCAACCCUCAUCCUUAGUUGCCAGCAUUUAGGUGGGCACUCUAGGGAGACUGCCGAUGAUAAAUCGGAGGAAGGUGGGGAUGACGUCAAAUCAUCAUGCCCCUUAUGUCUUGGGCUACACACGUGCUACAAUGGUCGGUACAACGGGCAGCGAAAGAGUGAUCUGGAGCAAAUCCCAAUAAACCGAUCUCAGUUCGGAUUGUAGGCUGCAACUCGCCUACAUGAAGUCGGAGUUGCUAGUAAUCGCGAAUCAGAACGUCGCGGUGAAUGCGUUCCCGGGUCUUGUACACACCGCCCGUCACACCACGGAAGUUGGUAAUACCCGAAGUCGCUGAGCUAACCGCAAGGGGGCAGGCGCCGAAGGUAGGAUUAAUGACUGGGGUGAAGUCGUAACAAGGUAACCA
rnacentral:rRNA from 1 species